AUGGGGACCCUCGGGCGCGCGAUCUACACGGUGGGCAAGUGGAUCCGUGGAACGGGGCAGGCCAUGGACCGCCUCGGAUCCACCAUCCAGGGCGGCCUCCGCGCCGAGGAGCAGGUGUCAAGGCAUCGUACAGUCAUGAGCAUAUUUGAUAAGGAGCCAAGGAUCAACAAAGAUGUUUUUGUUGCUCCCAGUGCAUCUGUCAUUGGUGAUGUUGAGAUUGGACAUGGAUCAUCGAUCUGGUAUGGCUCCAUUUUGAGAGGUGAUGUCAACAGUAUUCGUAUUGGAUCUGGAUCAAAUAUACAAGACAACUCCCUUGUACAUGUUGCAAAGACUAACAUUAGCGGGAAGGUCCUUCCGACAAUCAUUGGAAGCAACGUUACAGUAGGUCAUAGUGCUGUUUUACAUGCAUGCACCAUUGAGGAUGAAGCUUUUGUUGGUAUGGGCGCCACUUUGCUUGACGGAGUGGUUGUUGAAAAGCACAGCAUGGUUGGCGCCGGAUCUCUUGUCAAGCAGAAUACAAGGAUUCCUUCUGGGGAGGUCUGGGUUGGUAAUCCUGCCAAGUUCCUAAGGAAGCUGACAGAGGAGGAGAUCACAUUCAUCGCCCAAUCGGCAGCCAACUACAUCAACUUAGCUCAUGUUCAUGCCACUGAGAAUUCCAAGAGCUUCGACGAGAUUGAGCUCGAGAAGAAGCUGAGGAAGAAGUUUGCUCACAAAGACGAGGAGUACGACUCAAUGCUCGGAGUGGUCCGUGAGAUCCCGCCGCAGCUCAUCCUCCCCGACAACAUACUCCCAGACAAAGCACCGAAAGCAGCUGUCGCUCACUGA
rnacentral:rRNA from 1 species